AUUACAAAUCUCAGUGCUCGACAUAAGCUGUUUUAUUUUCCACUUGUCUCUUCAGACAAUUUCAUCGCGGUCUCUCUUUUUGUUUAGCCCCGCAUGGCACCCUCUGUGAGGACAAAUAUCGGCACCAGAUCUUUUCUGCUCGUAGGGAGAAAGGGAGCUGUAAUGACACAUAAUGGCUUUUAAAUAAAGCAAGUACUGCUGCUUCAGAGAAGGCUCAAAAGGUGAAAUAGUGAUGUUUGAAAGCCUCGUUGCUUUAGAGAUGAAAACAUCAAAGGUAAAAGGAAAAGAAAGUGUGACUGUGGAAUGCCAUGUGGAAAAAAUAAGCAGCAAUGUUCUCAGGCUGAUGGGAGCACAGCAGAGAAGAGGCUGCUGGAGGCAGGUGAAGGAAUGUCAGAGAAACGAGAAGAGUUCCUCUUAUACGCUGUAGUGAAAAUUCUGCAACCUAGAGGUGUACAGAUGGGUGCCUGCAUCUAUGCCUCAUCGCAAAGUAACCAGGCGACUCACUCACAGAGCUCCCGCUGCUUUUCCUGAUUUAUGUUGUUUUCAGGUACGUAAAUUAGAGACUUGUUGUCAGCGGAUAUUAUUCGUGGUUUAAAUGCUAAUGCAAAAUGCAGCUGCUCAGUGCAGUUAUU
rnacentral:lncRNA from 1 species